rnacentral:rRNA from 1 species
GCAAGUCGAACGAUGAAACUUAAAUGAUUUCUUCGGAAUGAAAUUAAGUGAAUUAGUGGCGAACGGGUGAGUAACACGUGAGUAACCUGCCUUACACAAGGGGAUAGCCUUUGGAAACGAAGAAUAAUACCCUAUAAAGUCAAAAUAUCGCAUGAUAUAGUGACCAAAGAUUUAUCGGUGUAAGAUGGACUUGCGUCUGAUUAGCUAGUUGGUGAGAUAAAAGCCCACCAAGGCGACGAUCAGUAGCCGGCUUGAGAGAGUGUAC